rnacentral:ncRNA from 1 species
GGUCAUGAGCGCCAGCGCCAAGCCCCGGCUCGCUGGCCGGCAACCCUCCGCCGCGGUGGGGUGCCCCGGGUGACGACCUGGCCGGCUCGAUCCCGAGACGGCAAGCGCGGAUC